rnacentral:rRNA from 1 species
UACGGAGGGGGCUAGCGUUGUUCGGAAUUACUGGGCGUAAAGCGCACGUAGGCGGCUUUUUAAGUCAGAGGUGAAAGCCCGGGGCUCAACUCCGGAACUGCCUUUGAGACUGGGAGGCUUGAACGUCGGAGAGGUGAGUGGAAUUCCGAGUGUAGAGGUGAAAUUCGUAGAUAUUCGGAAGAACACCAGUGGCGAAGGCGGCUCACUGGACGACUGUUGACGCUGAGGUGCGAAAGCGUGGGGAGCAAACAGG